CUGCACAUUUCUGGCCAGAAAUGUUUCAGCAGUGUCACAUAUGUACUACAUAUGUUACACUUGCUUUUUGUUACCAGCUGAUACCCUACAUUUGUAUAGACAUUGGAUGGUGUGAGGCUGGGGAGUUGAGUGGAGUGGGUAGGUGGGAGUUGAAUGGGGGGGUGCAGUGGGAGGUUGUUAGGUUUCUUUUUUUUUUUCUUUUUUUUUUUUUUGUUAAGAGAGACACAGUCCUCCUGUGUCUUCUCCAAGCUUCACAUGUAAAAUCCAACAGUGUGAAGCACAUAGCAGCCAGAAACUGUAAUGCCACAGAUCAGAGAGGCUUCAUCAUCACCAUCUUCAUCGCCGUACAAUCCGAGCGUGAGACUUCACAUCUGGAGCACAGGAGAGAUUCUGUGAUAAGUCUUCCUUCUAGCUUGUCCCACAAGCAGUCGAGCUGAGACACUCAGGACUGAACAGACUGCACAGCUUCUGUGACUGAGCCUCCAAAACACCUUUGAAACCACACAUGAUAGAAGGGCUUUAUAUUUGCAGCAGCACUACUAAAGUCGGCAGGAAUGUUGCUGCAGGAAAACAUCCCUGGAGAUCACCAUCAUUGUCAGACUGACUGUGCCUCCUCUGUGCAGUGUCAAGAUCCUCCCUAAAUGAGUGUUCCUCAGCUAUCCUGCUUCUGUGCUGCUUGCCACACAUCAAACACUGGCCGGAUGACAGGGAGGAUCCACUCUGAAGUCACUGGACAUGAUGAGGAUCAUAUGGGACUUUA